rnacentral:tRNA from 1 species
AUUUAUAUAGUUUAAAUAAAACAUUACAUUUUCACUGUAAAAAUAAUAUCUUCUAUAUUUAUAAAUA